GGAGAGAUCAAAUUACACCGGUGUAACAUUUGAGUAAUGUUACACCGCUCAAUAACGCUUUAACGAAUACAAAUUUUACAAAAUUCACCGUUGGAUUGAAAGUUUAUAUCGUAUAGAUCAUCCAUAUUAAUUUUUACAAAAAUCUAAAAUCGUUUGGUAUGUUAUUGAGACCAAUCAAGAUUAAUGGUUUAUGCGUUUUUAUUGAAUA
rnacentral:lncRNA from 1 species